AUGAGUAUUCACAUACCUGCUGCGCCUUGGUCCAUUUUUACAGAAGACAGCCGUUACAGAACUACCCACCACCAAAGGACCAAGCAGCGGAGAAGAGGACAGAGGCAAGUGAGGGAGGAAUGUUGGAGGCAGCCCCAAGAAUUUUUUAGGGGGGGGCACAAGGGCUAUUUGGCGGGGCGAGAUUACAGCCCCAGGCCAGCUCCCCGUACCCUUGUAGGGCAGACUGGACAGGUCCCGUGCUUUGGGGUUGGGGCUGUGGUGAGGCCUGGGAUUUUCAGGCUGGUAGGCAAGGUACCAGCGCCCCGCAUGUGCCAGGGCGAAGUAGGCAUCGAGCCGGAACGGGUGAUGCCAACCCUGCGCUCAAGACCGCCAGUGCGCCCUUUCGGUCCGGUGUUUCCCGCCAGACGCACUAGCAUGGAGGUGCGUGUCUCCAGGCUGGCACGUCCUAUACCAGCCCCACGCAUCAGGAGUCUAGUGUGUCAACCCAGCCUCGCCAGUCAACAGUCACCAGAGCUGCCCGCCAGUCAACAGUCGUCAGAGCUGCCCGCCAGUCAACAGUCGUCAGAGCUGCCCGCCAGUCAACAGUCGUCAGAGCUGCCCGCCAGUCAACAGUCGCCAGAGAGGUCAGACUGCCCUGAACUGCCGGAGUGGCCGGACUGCCCUGUUCUGCCAGAGUGGCCGGACUGCCCUGUUCUGCCAGAGUGGCCGGACUGCCCUGUUCUGCCAGAGUGGCCGGACUGCCCUGUUCUGCCAGAGUGGCCGGACUGCCCUGUUCUGCCAGAGUGGCCGGACUGCCCUGUUCUGCCAGAGUGGCCGGACUGCCCUGUUCUGCCAGAGUGGCCGGACUGCCCGGUUCUGCCAGAGGUGCCCGCCUGCCCUGAUCUGCCAGGGUGCCCGGCCUGUCAGGAUCAGCCCGAGUGGUCCUCCUGCCCUCCGGUCCAGCCCGAGUGGUCCUCCUGCCCUCCGGUCCAGCCCGAGUGGUCCUCCUGCCCUCCGGUCCAGCCCGAGUGGCCCGCAUGCCCUCCGGUCCAGCCCGAGUGGCCCGCAUGCCCUCCGGCCCAGCCCGAGUGGCCCGCAUGCCCUCCGGCCCAGCCCGAGUGGCCCGCAUGCCUUCCGGCCCAGCCCGAGUGGCCCGCAUGCUCUCCGGCCCAGCCCGAGUGGCACUCCUGCACCCCGGCCCAGCCCGAGGGGCCCUCCUGCCCCCCGGCCCAGCCCGAGGGGCCCUCCUGCCCCCCGGCCCAGCCCGAGGGGCCCUCCUGUCCCCCGGCCCAGCCCGAGGGGCCCUCCUGUCCCCCGGCCCAGCCCGAGGGGCCCUCCUGUCCCCCGGCCCGGCUCGAGGGGUCCGUCUGCCUGGCGCAGCUAUCGGCUCCACCGAAGUGGGCGACGCCGAGGGUGGAGCAGGGUCCACGUCCUGCACCGGAGCCACCUCCAGGAUAG
rnacentral:lncRNA from 8 species